rnacentral:pre_miRNA from 1 species
GCGCGACGUCAUUGCUGGUGCUCGUUGGAGGCGAAGCCUUGGUGGCCAGGUGCAGCGGGCUCAGGAAGGGGCUCAGCA